UCAGGCCUAACACAUGCAAGUCGAACGCACCGCAAGGUGAGUGGCGCACGGGUGAGUAACACGUGGGAACGUACCCUUUGGUUCGGGAUAACGCCGGGAAACUGGCGCUAAUACCGGAUAAAUCCUCCGGGAGAAAGAUUUAUCGCCAAAGGAGCGGCCCGCGUCCGAUUAGGUAGUUGGUGGGGUAACGGCCUACCAAGCCGACGAUCGGUAGCUGGUCUGAGAGGAUGAUCAGCCACACUGGGACUGAGACACGGCCCAGACUCCUACGGGAGGCAGCAGUGGGGAAUAUUAAGGGAUGGGCGCAAGCCUGAUCCAGCCAUGCCGCGUGAUUAUGGAGGCCUUAGGGUUGUAAAGCUCUUCGUCCGCGACGA
rnacentral:rRNA from 1 species